rnacentral:rRNA from 1 species
GUGUCAGCAGCCGCGGUAAUACAGAGGGUGCAAGCGUUGCUCGGAAUUAUUGGGCGUAAAGGGCAGGUAGGUGGUCAUAUUUGUCUAGGGUGAAAUCCCGGAGCUUAACUUCGGAAGUGCCUUAGAAACGGUAUGACUAGAGUCCUAGAGAGGUUUGUGGAAUUCCCGGUGUAGCGGUGAAAUGCGUAGAGAUCGGGAGGAAUACCAGCAGCGAAGGCGGCAAACUGGAUAGGAACUGACACUCAACUGCGAAAGCGUGGGGAGCAAACAGGAUUAGAUACCCUGGUAGUCC